GACGAACCGUGCGAACGUUAUUCGGAAUCACUGGGCUUAAAGCGCGUGUAGGCGGGACGGCACGUCGGUUGCUGAAAGCCCCCGGCUCAACCGGGGAAGGGGCGCCGAUACGGCCGACCUGGAGGGACGUAGGGGGACCUGGAACUUCCGGUGGAGCGGUGAAAUGCGUUGAGAUCGGAAGGAACGCCCGUGGCGAAAGCGAGGUCCUGGACGUCUGCUGACGCUGAGACGCGAAAGCCAGGGGAGCGAACGGG
rnacentral:rRNA from 1 species